AGGUAUAUGCAAAUUGAUAAUGACUUGAGAUUGUGAUUCUUAAAGUUAUGGGUUAAAUACCCAUCUUAUACCCU